GGCCGCGAAUUCGCCCUUAGGGUUUGAUUCUGGCUCAGGACGAACGCUGGCGGCGUGCCUAAUACAUGCAAGUCGAACGCUUCUUUCCUCCCGAGUGCUUGCACUCAAUUGGAAAGAGGAGUGGCGGACGGGUGAGUAACACGUGGGUAACCUACCCAUCAGAGGGGGAUAACACUUGGAAACAGGUGCUAAUACCGCAUAACAGUUUAUGCCGCAUGGCAUAAGAGUGAAAGGCGCUUUCGGGUGUCGCUGAUGGAUGGACCCGCGGUGCAUUAGCUAGUUGGUGAGGUAACGGCUCACCAAGGCCACGAUGCAUAGCCGACCUGAGAGGGUGAUCGGCCACACUGGGACUGAGACACGGCCCAGACUCCUACGGGAGGCAGCAGUAGGGAAUCUUCGGCAAUGGACGAAAGUCUGACCGAGCAACGCCGCGUGAGUGAAGAAGGUUUUCGGAUCGUAAAACUCUGUUGCUAGAGAAGAACAAGGACGUUAGUAACUGAACGUCCCCUGACGGUAUCUAACCAGAAAGCCACGGCUAACUACGUGCCAGCAGCCGCGGUAAUACGUAGGUGGCAAGCGUUGUCCGGAUUUAUUGGGCGUAAAGCGAGCGCAGGCGGUUUCUUAAGUCUGAUGUGAAAGCCCCCGGCUCA
rnacentral:rRNA from 1 species